CUGAUGCGUUGUUGGGUAGGGGAGCGUUCUGUAAGCCUGCGAAGGUGUGCUGUGAGGCAUGCUGGAGGUAUCAGAAGUGCGAAUGCUGACAUAAGUAACGAUAAAGCGGGUGAAAAGCCCGCUCGCCGGAAGACCAAGGGUUCCUGUCCAACGUUAAUCGGGGCAGGGUGAGUCGACCCCUAAGGCGAGGCCGAAAGGCGUAGUCGAUGGGAAACAGGUUAAUAUUCCUGUACUUGGUGUUACUGCGAAGGGGGGACGGAGAAGGCUAUGUUGGCCGGGCGACGGUUGUCCCGGUUUAAGCGUGUAGGCUGGUUUUCCAGGCAAAUCCGGAAAAUCAAGGCUGAGGCGUGAUGACGAGGCACUACGGUGCUGAAGCAACAAAUGCCCUGCUUCCAGGAAAAGCCUCUAAGCAUCAGGUAACAUCAAAUCGUACCCCAAACCGACACAGGUGGUCAGGUAGAGAAUACCAAGGCGCUUGAGAGAACUCGGGUGAAGGAACUAGGCAAAAUGGUGCCGUAACUUCGGGAGAAGGCACGCUGAUAUGUAGGUGAAGCGACUUGCUCGUGGAGCUGAAAUCAGUCGAAG
rnacentral:rRNA from 1 species